ensembl:rRNA 5S_rRNA 5S ribosomal RNA
GUCUCAGGCCGUAUCAGCCUGAAGGCGCCCGAUCUCGUCUGAUCUCGGAAGCUAAGCAGGGUCGGGCCUGGUCAGGAUCUUGGAUGGGAGACCACCUGGGAAUCCCGGGUGCUCGAGGCU